ACCGCCCUACGGUGUUUGUGGUUAGCCCUAGUUUUGAGCCAACACAUUUUUAAGGGGAGCUUGGCCUCUGGAUGUGGAUUGUAGGCCUUCAAACGGAGGAAACAAAAAGCAUGCAGGAGAGCACCCACCUGCGAGAGCAGGUUCAAAACGGGGCGUCACGGCACGUGUGGGGUUCCA
rnacentral:other from 1 species